GUGCCAGCAGCAGCGGUAAUACGUAGGGUGCGAGCGUUAAUCGGAAUUACUGGGCGUAAAGCGUGCGCAGGCGGUGAUGUAAGACAGAUGUGAAAUCCCCGGGCUCAACCUGGGAACUGCAUUUGUGACUGCAUCGCUGGAGUGCGGGCAGGAGGGGGAUGGAAUUCCGCGUGUAGCAGUGAAGUGCGUAGAUAUGCGGAGGAACACCGAUGGCGAAGGCAAUCCCCCUGGGCCUGCACUGACGCUCAUGCACGAAAGCGUGGGGA
rnacentral:rRNA from 1 species